GCUCCGGUAUCAGGAUCCGGAGGAUUUAAACACUUAGUGUUCGUCAACGGUUAAGUUCCGGAGUGGGGCGGGCCUUGCGCGCACGCAGUGAAAAGCCCAGCCGGGCGGCCGGGAGGACGUCAGAGGCGGCCGGAAGCGCUCGCUUCCGUGGUCGUUGCUCGGCGACUAGAAGCGGACUAAAUUUGAAAGGACAAAAGAGGGGAAGUUAGAUUUCUUCCGGUUUCUUUCCUAAGAAGCAUCCCCUCCUCUCAAUAACAUAAAUUAAAAAAAAAAAAAAGAAAACACUUCCUGUUGAGCAGAAAAGAACUUGACAAAUUUAUAAACCGUUUGUGCUUACUCUGCAGCUGAUUGGCAAGUUCUUUCUGUAGGGAGAUCCAAGUGACAAACCUCAAUGGCUGCCAUGGGUUACAUUUAGUGCAGAGGCCCUGGGGUGUAAGCUUCCUCACAUCUUCGAGCAAGGAGGACACUGUGGAAUUGCCAUGGCUGUUGGCCUCUACAGAGAAAAGCUACCAGUCUUAUUUUCUUAUUUUUCAAAUUUGCAAGAGCUUUAAUUUGCUUCACAGAGAACCAUUUCCAGUGUGCCAUACUUUAAAAAAAUGUAUGAAUUUGUUGCACAAACAAUGCUACAACAAGAAAAAUAUUGUAAAGGGAAAAAUUCAUCCAAAAUUCUACAGCCUAACAUGUCAAUUGUUUUCAUUUUUCCUUGUGCCCUUUCACUCCCUGUCCACAUGACAUGGUCUUUAUGAUUAGACCUGGUAAAUGUUCAGUGUUAUAAACCCUGCUGUGCCUGCUAAUAGGCUGGCUGUGGGAAUUAAAGAGCUAUUGUUAUCACCAGGAACAGGGAAGUUGGAAUCAGUUAUCAGUUCUGUUAUUUAUUUACUAAAUUUCUCCAAACACCCAACUUUCCCUUUCUCUAUUUAUACUCCUGAGCUAAGCUGGACUACUGCUUUUUAAAAACAACUACAGCUUCACUUUUAAGGAACAUAUUUUUAAGGGGCAUUGCCAGUCUGUCAGUUUAUGCAAAAUUCCUUUGAGAUGAACCUCUUGGGAGAAGUAACAACAAUGUGUGUCAUCACGUUGAUUUACUUUAUUUUUUUGAAGCUUGGCUUGUUUGGAAUGAAGACAAGAAUGAUCAAAUAACAAACACUGGUAAAUUCUCUGAAAGUAUUUGCUAAUCUGAGUUAAUGUACCAUCAUCCUGAUUUGCGUUCAAGAAAACCAUAGGUAUAACCAACCUACCUACACUUGCAAAGUUAAUAAGCAAAGACACUCUAAGACCUGCCAAAGACAAUCUCCUUUCUCAGGUUAGCCUGCCAUUCUACAGUGUGGACCUGACUGAGCUUGACUGACAAAGUCACUCCUGGAAGCGUAGGUUUAUUGUCUGUUGCCAGAUUUGGCACAUCAGCUUCUUAAAGGCCAUGUUUCCUUUAACUAAUGCUCUCAGAAUCUUUGAUAAAAGGUCCUUUGAUAAAGUGUUAUGGCAAUAACCAUGCAAAUCUGAAUAGCAGGAAUCUUCAUUUUAGAAACUCCAUCAAGCAUCAGGUUAUGUAAUGAGCUUAGCAUCCCUCUAGGAAAUAAAUCACAAUAUAGUAGAUGGCUAUGAAGGUCUGAAUGCAAAGCAUAUGGCCUGCCACCCACCCACCUAUGCCAUCCACAUGCUGUGUCUUUGUUCCAUCAUCCAGACUGAUCCUAGUAACAAGUUCCUAGCUAAGUAUACUCAAGGGAGGUAUCUCUGACAGGGAAAUAGCUGCCAGACCAUUGAAGAUACAAGUUGAGUGGCAGAAACAAAGUCAUAUAGUCUAAAUCUUCCAAGAACCUUAAGAGAGUGAAUUAUGUUGUAACAGUGAUACACCAUGCUGCUCAAAGAGGAAUCAGACCUAGUCCCUUCCUUCAGGGAGCUCUAAAUCUAGUGUGGAUUCACAGUACACCACAGUGCUACAACAGACAUAAACAAGACCUUACCCCUUCCGGUAAGGGGGAAGGAUGUAGAAGCAUAAAAGAGGGACACCUAACCCUGUCUUGGAAAUAGGGAGCUUCCUAGAGAAGGUAAAAUCUGGAUUGAAUACUGAAAAAUGAAUAACACAUAGCCAACAAAGAGGCUCGGUCAAGAAAGUGAAAAAGAAAGUAUGGGAACAGGAAAUUCCUUUCAAAUUGACCUUUGAAAGGUCAAUUAUGAUAAAUAGGACAGAUAAAUGAUGACAAGACUCUAUUUCUUAAGCCCUUAGAAAGUGCACGAGAACAUAGCUAUAGGCUGGGAAUAGUAUCCAUGUGCUGAAUAUAUGCCCAAAAGACCUACUGUGCUUGAUGAUAAAUAAACACAUACAGGUAGAAGUGGAUUUUGAGGAUAGCUCUUACUAUAUAGCUUUCUGAGAUCAGUCUUCUCAUCUGUGAUAGAACCCACUUUAAAGGGAUUUUGUGAGCAUGGAACUUUUUUUUUUUUUUGAGGAAGAUUAGCCCUGAGCUAACAUCUGCUGCCAAUCCUCCUCUUUUUGCUGAGGAAGAUGGGCCCUGAGCUGCCAGACCAUUGAAGAUACAAGUCAAUGUCAGCCAUGUCAGCCCCCAGGAUCCAAACUGGCAAACCCUGGGCUGCCGAAGCAGAACGUGCAAACUUAACUGCUACACCACCAGCCAGCCCCAGCAUGGAACUUUUUAUCACAUAAGGAGGCUUGUUCUUCCUGGAAAUAACUCCCUGGAAAACCCUUGGCAGAGAUGGGUAUCACUUUUUUAUAUCUUUCCCUACUAGUAUUUUCCUUAGCUGCCUAGCGUGGUUGGGAGGAGAUGGGCAAGGCACAGGAUAAUAAAUACUCAACUUACUGUAGUCAUAGUUCUCCAGGGAGAUGUAGAGAGGAAAGUCCCUACAUAUUGCUCUAAGUAGGUAUACUAUGAAGUUUGGGACCCAGCCUCCUGUGUGGAAUCCUUGGUUCUGGUGGACGCUAUCAUUGGAGCAAGAAAGACUAUGUUUUUGUCUUUGGCCUCAGGCCUUCACUAAAAGCAUGAGAAUAGCUUCCUAGACUCUUUUUCCAUGGAACUUACACCCUUAACAUCUUUCAACUGUGGCAGUUAUGCCAGAAGAGAUACAGAAAAAUCAGUUAAGACAACACGCACAAAGGAAAAGAAGGUACAUUUGCUUCAAUAUGACCCUUUUUGUACUCCCAUUACCUUUUAGUAAUAUGACCAGUUGUUCUGGUUUACAGCUGACAUAUGUCCUAGUUCCUCCUCCCUGGAAGGUGCAAAGUUUCAAGCCUUCUUCUGAACUUGGAUUGGAUUUCCAAUGCCAGGCAUUCUGCCAGGUCAGGGGUCAGCAAACUAUAGCCUGUGAGCACCUGUUUCGCUAUAGCCUACAAUCUAAGAAUGGCUUUUGCAUUUUUAAAUGGAUGAAUGAAAUAAAAGAAAGAAUAAUAUUUUGGGAUAUGUGCAAAUUAUAUUAAAUUCAAAUUUCAGUGUUCAUAAAAAUGUUUUAUUAGUACAUAACCACACUCAUUUGUUUACGUAUUAUCUGAGGCUGCUUUUGUACUACAAGGGUGAAGUUGACUAGUUGCAACAGAGAUGGUAUGGCCCACAAAACCUAAAUGACAACUUUUGGCUUCUCUUUCAUCUGCAAAAUGAGUGUAAUAGUAACAUCUAUGUCACCAGGUCAAUGACAUAGUAGCUAUGAUAGGGCUCAAUAAACAAUCAAAAAGGGGAAUAUUUUGAAGCAAUAUGAAAAAUAAGUUAUUAAUAAUAAGAUUUCUCCAGCAGUAAUAAUCUGAGACAUUCUGUUUCUUCCUCCAUGGUGGGAAGGGAAAUGUAGAAAUUGUGGGAAGGAAGGAAGUAGGAACUGAAGGGAGAAGAGAUAAGAGAGGCAAAGAAAGAGAGUGGGGAGAAGGACAGGAAAAGAGAAGUAGAUGGGGAGAAGGAGAGGAAGUUAGAA